rnacentral:rRNA from 1 species
AAAUUGAAGAGUUUGAUCAUGGCUCAGAUUGAACGCUGGCGGCAGGCCUAACACAUGCAAGUCGAACGGUAACAGGAAGCAGCUUGCUGCUUUGCUGACGAGUGGCGGACGGGUGAGUAAUGUCUGGGAAACUGCCUGAUGGAGGGGGGUAACUACUGGAAACGGUAGCUAAUACCGCAUAACGUCGCAAGACCAAAGAGGGGGACCUUCGGGCCUCUUGCCAUCGGAUGUGCCCAGAUGGGAUUAGCUAGUAGGUGGGGUAA